AGCAGCCGCGGUAAUUCCAGCUCCAAUAGCGUAUAUUAAAGUUGUUGCAGUUAAAAAGCCGUAGUUGAAUUUCGGGAUUGGCGCAUCGGUCGUGCCUCACGGGGUAUGAACUGGUGCAUCAAUUUCUCACCUUCUGGAGAACCGCGAUGUCCUUAAUUGGAUGCCGCGGGGAACCAGACCUUUACUUUGAAAAAUUGA
rnacentral:rRNA from 1 species